GUAGAACAGCACAACACAAAUAUACAAACAGAAACCAAUGUGCCUAGGCCAUCACGAAGUUAUCAACGACAUAGAAAAAGUAACGUUAUUCGAUAUUGCUGUUGCAUAGGACGCCGGGAUGUCUAGACGAUACAUUCGAAACAAAUGGGUGUGGAAAUAUUUUGAAGAAUUGAAGUAUUUUCAAGCACAAUGUAAAUUGUGCCCACGUUCUGAUCCAACCGUUUUGAUGUAUCGAGAUAUGACCAACGUGAGAUAUCACUUAGAGUUGCAGCACGAAAAUAUAUUUUUUUGCGAUCUCAACUAUUGCAAUUGGGAGGGACAUUUAUAUAAGAAACAUAAUAUACAUAUAAAUUUAGGGAAAAAAUUAGAAACGAUUUUUAUAUGGAAUUAUAUUGAAGAGUAUGAUAAAAAUCUGGUGAGGUGUCUUGUGUGUGAUGAUAUGAUUAUACUUCGUCCUGUGAAAGCUUUAAAUAAUCACAUGUUUGAUGAACAUCGUGAUAUUUGGAACAAAGAACAAACUCCACAAAGAGAAACUGAUAUGCCUGAGCCAUCAACAAGUGCACAACGUUAAAGAAAAGAAGAACGAUUUAUCCCACCCAGAUUUAACACAGGUUUUAUAUUCAAGUACCACGACCAGCAUCAAUCUUGACUAUGACAACUUAAAUGAUUUGAGAUAUCUGGAGAAACUGCCAUA